rnacentral:lncRNA from 1 species
AAUCUUAACGUGUCUCCUUAACAUCACUCCGUUUGCUGAAGGACAAUCCUCACCACGGAAGGUGUGUAUUGAAAAAAUAUAUUUAAGCAUGCAUAGAAUUUUUCACCUAACAGGUAUCAAGCAUCCAAAGAAACCUUUAAAAGUUUGGAAUGGUUUGAAUCACGACUACCUAACAGGUAUCAGUAUAAUAACCAUUAUAUUCAAAUCUUUAUUUACUCAUAAGCCCUUUCUAUGUUGUAGUCUUCCAUUCCUGCUAUAUUCUAUAUUUCUAAUAAGGCUAUGAGUGCAAUGAUAUGCUUAUUACUUCCUUGGAAAGCUAACAUUUUGUCGAUUAGGAAAUAGAUAUGUCGGUGUAGCAGCAUUUUAAUUUACAUAUCAUAAUAAUAGAGAAAUAGAGUGUAAUCAUAUUGGUCAAAUGUUUCCUUGAGGCCAACAACCCAACCGAGCAAAUUCCAGACCUCCGGCCCGAUUGAGGACCUCAUGGAUGAACCAUGAACCAUCCAAUGGAGUGGUGGUUACCUUCCAAGGAGCAAGGAGCCAUCUAUUAAACUUUCUAAGUGGGUCCUCUGGAUUCACCAACCUUAUGGAUAUCCACCUUCCCCCUUACACAAAUGGUGGUUGCCUCUUGGGUCCAAGUAAUUUCAGAGCUAUCCACUCUGGAUCAAACCUCUGUCAGUAAAAUUACAUUCAAAGUAGAAUUAACUUAUACAAAAAUAAAAAUAAAAUAAAAUGAAGACUCAACCUAGCCUUGUUUGACAAAAGUAAAUGCUCAUAUUUCUAAUACAAAACAAAUCCUUAGCAUUGGCUUUUUAAUAAUCUUGGUGGGUGUUUAAGCCAUUUUUUUCUCUAUUUAAAAACAAUGGUGGAAUCACCUGUUGGAUGAAAAGCAUGGGGAACAAUACCAAGAAUUGAACCUAGAACAUCCUUCCACUUAUAUACAAUGAUUAAUAUAUUUCAAUAAAGAAGAGCAAAAUUAUCUAUCUUGUAGCGCAUUUACAUCCAUGUUUAGUGGUUAGGUUACCCCAACAAUAUGGUAAAAAAGAAACCAAAAGAAUAGUCUCAGCCAGUCUAUUAAUAUCAUAUCAGCCUAAAUCUUUUGAAAUGGUAAAAAUCCAUAUUUUACAGAUAUUACAUUCAUGGAGGUCCGACACAAACAGAGUUAUCUUAUCCAAGAUCAAGAGGAUGGUACCAAUAAAUCUCAAUCUGCUUAGGUUGGUCCAGA